CCCUUAGAUGUCCUGGGCCGCACGCGCGUUACACUGAUGCAUUCAACGAGCUUAUAACCUUGGCCGAGGGGCCCGGGCAAUCUUGUUAACGUGCAUCGUGAUAGGGAUAGAUUAUUGAAAUUAUUAAUCUUGAACGAGGAAUUCCUAGUAAACGCAGAUCAUCAAUCUGCAUUGAUUACGUCCCUGCCCUUUGUACACACCGCCCGUCGCACCUACCGAUUGGAUGGUCCGGUGAAGCCUCGGGAUUGUGGUUCUUGCCGCUUUAUUGUGGCGUGACCGCGAGAACUUGUCUAAACCUUAUCAUCUAGAGGAAGGUGAAGUCGUAACA
rnacentral:rRNA from 1 species